rnacentral:rRNA from 1 species
AGCAGCCGCGGUAAUUCCAGCUCCAAUAGCGUAUAUUAAAGUUGUUGCAGUUAAAAAGCUCGUAGUUGAAUUUCGGGAUCAGUACGUCGGUCGUGCCUCCGGUAUGUACUGGCGUCACUGAUUUCUCCCUUCUGAUGAACCAUGAUGUCAUUAAUUUGGUGUUGUGAGGAGUCAGGACUGUUACUUUGAAAAAAUUAGAGUGUUUAAAGCAGGCAA